rnacentral:lncRNA from 1 species
AAUAAUAAUUAAUAUUAAAAAAAGAGUCAAGCUAUGUUAGAAAGAAAGUCUGGCCACUCAAAAGCAUUUUCUAAACGGACAUUUAAAGGUAACCAACACACAUGUGUGUACACACAAAAAAAAAACACAAGAAGAACCAGUUGAGAUUCCUCCUUCUAACUUACCUAUUUCUUCAAAUAAAUCUGUCAUAUUUAUCAUCAGGUACAACAUUACCUUUUAUAAUCACUAAUGAAACCAGAUCAAUGAAGUUUGCAUCAUCUUCAUUCACCAAUGACACCAGUUUGUUUACUUGUGUAAAUUCUUCAAACACAACUGUAUAUUAUCGAUUUUUAUACUUUUUUCUAUUGACAUUUUUGUGGAAAUUAUUAAUUUAGUUGUAACAUGCCCUGAAUGUGACAAAAAGACUAUGAGUCAAACAUUUAACGUCUUGAGAAAGUAAGGCUUGUCUAUACCAUUAUUGUUACAAGUUGUUAUAAGUUAUAUUGUUAUAAGUUCAAGUUGUUGUUAGUGUACAACCUUUCAUUCAAGUAAAGAAUGUAAAUGCAAAAGCAGUCGUGGUAGACCUGUUUGAGGUUUAUGUUCGUUUUGUUUUUGAUAUGAGAGAAAUUGGAAAAAGUUAUACCAGUUAGAAAAACUCUGUGGAUGAAAAAAGUAAUUAGAACAGUGCUUUUCCAUUGCUCUUAAGCAAAAUAUAUUAUUAGAAUAUAGAAGGCAUCAAAUGUGCCCACGUACUCUUGAUAGUUGGUGUAAAUAUCAGGCUGACAAAAUAAAUGGCAUAGCAACAUACAAACAUAAGGGAGGAAUUACCAAUUGUUGUCCUUGAAGAAAAAAAGCCUGUUUUUUUUAAGUUUAAGUGAUGACAAUUUAUAAAAAAAUAUCUUUAUGGCAAAACUCAAAAUAAGUAAUAAAUAAAUGAGUCACUAAAUGGAAUGAUUUGGAAACGAUUUCAAAAAGAUAUCUACGUUUUUUGAAAAUUUGAAAGAAAUUUAGUGAUAGAAAUUUAGUAUAUUAUUACUUAAAUUGCAUUUAUCUCAAAAUUGAAUUUUUUGAACGGUGCGUCAUAUAACUUUUGAUUUAUUUGAGCUUUACUCUUGAAAUUUUAUAUGGUGGUUAUUUUUUAUAAGAUACAGGUUUAGAACCAACAUUUUUUGAAAAAAUAUUUUUCGGUCCAGAGUUACCCAAGCCCAAAGUUUUAUUUUUAAGCUUUUUUAUAAGCAAGGUAUUUGAAUUUUAAUUACCUUAGAUCUAGUUAUGUAAUCAGGCUAAUUCUGCUCCCAUACCUAUAAAAUUGUACUAUAAACAAACUGUAAAAAUUUUGUUAUCAUUCUACAGGUGGUUUUUUCUGAAUUUAACGCACCGCAAAGUGACCAUUUUGAGACCUUUGGACCCAAAAAGGGUUUUCUGUAAUUUUUUUUCUUUUUUUUUUAAAAAAAGACAUAGUUACCUGUUUAUAAUUGUUGUACCAAAAUAUCAAAUUUAAAUAGUAAGAAUUAAAGAAUUUGGAUUUUUCACCCAAAUACCACCUUAAGCUAUGCAAUUGAGUUCUGGAACUCAUUGGAGCAAAGGAAAAUAUUCAAAGAUAUUCUUGAAGUAAAUAUUGCUAGAUAAAAACUUAUUUCUUGUCAAAAAUAUAAUUUUAUAAUAAUUUACAUUAUAAUAUUAUACACAGCGGGUGAUUAAAAUAAAUAUAUUAUUAUCAUUAAAUGUGAUAUGAAACAGGGAUUAAUAAAGAUUAGACAUCAAAAUCGCAAAAUAAUAUUAGAGAAAAUGUUUUAACGUUUUAUGUUUUACGUAAUUGCUUUAAAAACGUAAACAAAAAUUUACUCGAAAAACUAUAAAAAGUUGCUAAACACGUUUGUAAAGAUAUUCAACAACAUAGCUAAAGAUGCCCCAAGAAGACCUAACGGUCUUGUCACAGAGCACCGCGGAAGUGCAUUUAACCAGGAAGUUCACGCCUCCUUUCUUUUGAUAAACUCAAGUCAUAAGUCAUAAAGUCAACAAGCCAUAAAGUCAAGCUCGUUAUAUUGCUCUAUAUUGAGUGAAUCAGCCGUGGUGAAUUUAUAUUAUAGAUACAAAACAAUAUUUUCUUACUUGGUUAUUUGAUGAAAUAUACUAUAUCUUUUAUUA